GCAUAUCAAUAAGCGGAGGAAAAGAAACCAACAGGGAUUGCCUUAGUAACGGCGAGUGAAGCGGCAAAAGCUCAAAUUUGAAAUCUGGCACUUUCAGUGUCCGAGUUGUAAUUUGAAGAAGGUAACUUUGGAAUUGGCCCUUGUCUAUGUUCCUUGGAACAGGACGUCACAGAGGGUGAGAAUCCCGUGCGAUGAGGUGACCAAUUCUAUGUAUAGUGCUUUCGAAGAGUCGAGUUGUUUGGGAAUGCAGCUCUAAGUGGGUGGUAAAUUCCAUCUAAAGCUAAAUAUUGGCGAGAGACCGAUAGCGAACAAGUACAGUGAUGGAAAGAUGAAAAGAACUUUGAAAAGAGAGUGAAAAAGUACGUGAAAUUGUUGAAAGGGAAGGGCUUGAGAUCAGACUUGGUACUUUGCGUUCCCUUCCUUUUUGGUUGGGUUCCUCGCAGUUUACUGGGCCAGCAUCGGUUUGGAUGGUAGGAUAAUGACAUUGGAAUGUGGCUCUACUUCGGUGGAGUGUUAUAGACUUUGUUGAUACUACCUAUCUAGACCGAGGACUGCGUCUUUGACUAGGAUGCUGGCGUAACGAUCUUAAGCCGCCCGUCUUGAAACACGGACC
rnacentral:rRNA from 1 species